AUACCUCCGCUUCGGCAGUACAUAUACUAAAAUUGGAACGAUACAGAGAAGAUUAGCAUGGCCCCUGCGCAAUAAAAAAUGAACUUUUUUGACAUAACUAGAAAUAUCUU
rnacentral:snRNA from 1 species